rnacentral:lncRNA from 1 species
AUGACAGGCAUUUCAAGAGAUAAGAGGCAGGCUGCUGCCCACUCAAAAGCAUCAUUCCACCCAUCAGGCAGAGCGCCCAAAUUAAGGAUCGUAGCAAUUACACACAAGCAACAGCAUGGAAAAGAAGCCAGUGCUGCAGAGGUGAUCUGGAUCCAGGAAGAAAGGGAAGAUACCUUCAAUCAAAAAUUUCUGGAGUUACAAAUGCAUUUCAACAAUGAUCAAGUCAUGCUGCAACAGGCACAGAGAACAAAUAACUGCAAGAAGAAAUUGCUGAACUUAGAUCUGAAAUCCCAGCAUUAACAAAAAAGGUGAGAUCAAUAAUGUUCAAAUGGGCGAGUUGAUGACAAAUUUGAGAAAACUCCAUUGUGGGUUUCAUACCUGCUGUUUUAUCCUCAUUCUUCACAGAACACAAGACAAGUUGGUAUUAUGAAAAUCAUUAUAAAACAAUUACUUGCCAUUUCUAAUUAUGUAAUAUUUGGAAAAUGUCCAGAUGUAAAUGUGUCAUGCUUCUUUUUUUAACUUUUGGGCUGUAAAAUAAUUAGGAGAGAUGAAAUUGAAUUAAUGUAAUAAAACACUAUCUGACAUAAAAUAAAUUUUAUAACUGAUCCAACAAGUUGUAGAUAGAACUCCUUAAACUCCAAGUAGCAUUGAACUUUCAGAUGCCGUUGAAAAUAUGUUGCUGCUUUUUAAUGACUUCAGGGGAUUGAACAACUUAACCUUCUUUCGAAUAUUAUACUGAUUACCCCCAAACCAAACGCAAUAUGCUUUUCUCAGUGACAAAAACCAAGUUUCUCACUGUACAAAUUUACCAAUAUCAGAGACUUUUCUUAUGAUUGUGAGCUGGCUAAAAUUUACCAAAGAUAAGAAGAUGAUAUUAUCCCCAAACACUGCUAUGAAGUUUUUUAUUCAAGUAUUACUAUCAUGGUUGCACAAUAGUGUGAAUGUAAUCAGUGCCACUAAACUAUACAUUCAAAAACAGUUAAGAUGGUAAAUUUGAUGUUAUGUAUAUUUUACCACAAUUAAAAAAAAAACACAAAGAAAGAAUAAUUAUGCAAUGAUCACCUGGGCACAAGUUUAAUAAAAAGAGCACUACAUUUAGUUCUGACAUUUUAUGAGUGCCCUCCCGGUAUCUCCUGGUCCCUUCACAGCCCAUCCUGUCCUGACCUGAAUUUUGUGUUACCGUUCGCUUGCUAUCAAAGAUAGCAAAAGUCUUGCACAUGAAAGAACUUUAUAAAUGGAAUCUUCUUCUAUGUGUCCCUCUGCAACAGCUUUUUCAUUC